rnacentral:rRNA from 1 species
UACGUAGGGGGCAAGCGUUGUCCGGAUUUAUUGGGCGUAAAGAGCGUGUAGGCGGCUUGGUAGGUCCGCUGUGAAAACUCGAGGCUCAACCUCGAGAUGUCGGCGGAAACCACUUGGCUAGAGUCCGGAAGAGGAGAGUGGAAUUCCCGGUGUAGCGGUGAAAUGCGCAGAUAUCGGGAAGAACACCUAUGGCGAAGGCAGCUCUCUGGGACGGUACUGACGCUGAGGCGCGAAAGCGUGGGGAGCGAACAGG